GUGAGCUGGAGCACGAUACACUGCUACGGCAGAGGAAACUCCUCCCUCCAUACAGGAAAUGUGAUCUGGAGAUAGAUAAUCAGAGAUGAUUGGCAACGGAGCAGAAAAGAAAUCCAAUAUGGCGUACUGUGAUGGUGAAAACCUGAGAUUUCCAUAAAAGGAAUGAAAAAGACGACCCACAUGGAGCAAAGCCAAACAGAACUAAAGGAUCCUGUACUAAGUUCAGGUAGGCUGCAAAGCGAAAUAUCGUGAAAACAGAAGGAGGGUUACUCCCAGCACAC
rnacentral:RNase_P_RNA from 1 species